CGCGCCACAGGAGGCUUUGACGCGCGGCCAUUCCCACGGCCGCCGAGACCGCGCCGAGCCACCGGCGAGACCGACCUGCGGCGAC
rnacentral:ncRNA from 1 species